rnacentral:ncRNA from 1 species
CUACAUUUUUUAAAUUUAAUAAGUUCAUUUAAUAAUAUAAAUGCAUUUUCAAAUUCUUUACAUAUUAUGUCAAAUACAGGAGCUAAAGCAAAUUGAAAUCAAAUUUGUCAAUUAAUAGGAGUAGGAGGUUAUUUAUCAAAUGCUACGUAGAUAAAGUCGGGGUCUAAAAUUAGAUUUAAUAUAUAAUUGAUGGUUAAAAGUUUAAAUUUCCUCUACCAUAAUAUAUAAUUUAAACAAAUAGUGACCUAUAAUUUUUAUUAUAUUUUUAAGAUAUAGUUUCUUAAUAUAAUAAAAAUAUAUAGCUAGAAAAAUGUACUUGUUAUAUAUAUAUUAUGCCCGUACUAAAACUGACACAAGUAAGCAAGUAUAAAUGUACUAAGGAGUACGAAAUAACUUUCUCUACGGAACUCGGCAAAAUAAUCCUCCUUAUAUAUAUAAUAUAGGGUAGUUAACUCAAUGGUAGAGUAUAUACCUUACAAGUAUAAAGUUGUUGGUUCGNAAAAAAAUAUUUUUAAUAUAAGUAUUUUUAUAAGCUCCAGUAAACGGCGGCUGUAACUAUAACGGUCCAAAGGUAGCGAAAUUCCUUGUCGGGUAAGUUCCGACCUGCACGAAAGGUGUAACGACUUGGAUGCUGUCUUGGAGAAAGAUUCGGUGAAAUAGAAAUGUCUGUGAAGAUACGGACUAUCUACACCAGGACAGAAAGACCCUAUGAAGCUUUACUAUAUUUUGAAAUUAAAAAUAAAAUAUAUUUGUGUAGAAUAAGUGGGAAACAAAUUAAUUUGUUUAUCUUGAAAUACCACUCUUAUAUAUUUUAUUUUUUUAUUAUAAUAUUGUUAACCAAUUAUAAGAAAAUUUUAAAAAGGUAGUUUGACUGGGGCGGUAGCCUCCUAAAAAGCAACGGAGGUGUACAAAGGUCUUUUUUUAAUUUAAAAAAUUUUUAAAUUAAAACUAUAAAGGGAUAAAAGGCUUGAUUGCAAGAGUUACUACUCGAGCAAGGACGAAAGUCGGUCUUAAUGAUCCGACAGUUCUUUGUGGAAAGGCUGUCGAUUAACGAAUAAAAGUUACUCUAGGGAUAACAGGCUGAUCUCCCCCGAAAGUUCAUAUUGACGGGGAGGGUUGGCACCUCGAUGUCGGCUCGUCGCAUCCUGAGGCUGAAGUAGGUCUCAAGGGUUGGUCUGUUCGCCCAUUAAAGCGGCACGUGAGCUGGGUUCAGAACGUCGUGAGACAGUUCGGUCCAUAUCCGGUGUAGACAUAAGAACAUUGAAAAGUUUUUCUUUUAGUACGAGAGGACCAAAGAAAUUAAACCUAUGGUGUAUUAGUUAUUUUACUAAAAGUAGUCGCUAAGUAGCCAAGUUUAAUAAAUAUUAUUCACUGAAAUCAUAUAAGUGAUAAAAAUACUUUAAGAUAAAUGUUCUUAUCUAAUUUUCUUAGAAUAAGAAAACAAAUAUAUAAUUUGUUAAAAAGAAAAAAUGUAUACAAUUAGUAAUAAUUUUAGCAUUUUUUACUAAAAUUUCGAUGAUAUAUUUUU